rnacentral:rRNA from 1 species
CAGCAGCCGCGGGAAUACGGAGGGUGCAAGCGUUAUCCGGAUUCACUGGGUUUAAAGGGUGCGUAGGCGGGCAGGUAAGUCAGUGGUGAAAUCUUCGAGCUUAACUCGGAAACUGCCGUUGAUACUAUCUGUCUUGAAUAACGUUGAGGUGAGCGGAAUAUGUCAUGUAGCGGUGAAAUGCUUAGAUAUGACAUAGAACACCGAUUGCGAAGGCAGCUCACUAAACGCUCAUUGACGCUGAGGCACGAAAGCGUGGGGAUCAAACAGGAUUAGAUACCCCGGUAGUCCCUGUCUCUUAUAC